CCAUCAUUGAGGAGGAGAGCACACGAGAUGAGGUCAGAGGAGGAAGGCGAGAUCACGCAGGUCUCGGAGACCAGGCCAGGAGCUGGAUUUAUGACACUACAAUGAUGGCUAAUGUGCCAAUAUCCAUAGGAACCUGUAUCCAGGAUCACUGUACCUGUGAAUAAAGUGCAGCUGCUCCAAGUAGACACAGCCUUUUGAAAUAUCUACACACAGGUCUACAAGGUCAACCAAGAAAAUACCAAAUUGCUAUGGACUUUAAACCAGAGAACCAUGCUGAUAACAUCUAAACAAAGUUGGAAUCAUGUUGGAAAUUUGAAGAAAAUACUGAUUUCUGGGUCCCACCUCCAGAGAUUCUGACUGAACUGGCCUGAGGGAAAACCUGGAUGAAGAGAUUUUAAGAGCUCCAGUGUGCACGAGGUUGAGAACCAUGCCUUUGGUGCAUGUUAAUCAAUGUGAAGACAAGAUACAUGAGCUCUCAUAGCCAUGUCCAGUGCCACAGCCCAGCCUUAGUCAGCCAAAUGAUCCAAGCUGCCUCUAAAACAACUCUCUUUAGAAAUGUGUAAAAAAGAUAAAAACAGACAAAUUAAAUGAAGUAAUAAGAACCA